CCCUGCCAUUUGUACACACCGCCCGUCGCUACUACCGAUUGAAUGGCUUAGUGAGGCCUUGGGAUUCCGGAUUCCCAGAAAUGGGAGUCACGGGAAAACUUGGCCAAACUUGGUCAUUUAGAGGAAGUAAAAGUCGUAACAAGGUUUCCGUAG
rnacentral:rRNA from 1 species